GAUGAACGCUGACAGAAUGCUUAACACAUGCAAGUCGAUGGGGAAGUGGUGCUUGCACCAUGGUAACCAUGGCGGACGGGUGAGUAACGCGUAAGGAACUUGCCUGCGGGACCGGGAUAACAGCAGGAAACUGCUGACAAUACCGGAUAAGGUCAUUAAGCCGCAUAGCUUAGUGAUGAAAGGAGACGCCUGCGGAGAGCCUUGCGUCCUAUUAGCUAGUUGGAGGGGUAACGGCCCACCAAGGCGAAGAUAGGUAGCCGGCCUGAGAGGGUGGACGGCCACAAGGGGACUGAGAUACGGCCCUUACUCCUACGGGAGGCAGCAGUGGGGAAUAUUGGACAAUGGGGCAACCCUGAUCCAGCAAUUCUGUGUGCACGAAGACGGUUUUCGGAUUGUAAAGUGCUUUCAGCAGGGAAGAAGGAAGUACGGUACC
rnacentral:rRNA from 1 species